AAAACUAAAUUAAGAUUUAAUCGAAUGAAUCGGGUGGUAAUAUGGCGGCUGGUUCUUAUAUCGUGUGAGUACUUUACUGCGUGUUUUCACAUAGUCAACUGUUGACUUUCGUUUAAUUUUGUUAAAUAUCGUCAAUAUACUAUUGGAAUGAUGUGUAAAAUGAUAAACAAGAUGAAUUCGACAGUAAUUGAAGAGUCAAAAGCAACGCAAUGUUACACAGAGGGGUUGGAAGGAUUCGACUCUCACAGAAGCAUGGAAGGCUUUGAAAAAACAGUGGAAACAACACAAGAUUG